UGACAGACAAUUGUCUUUUUGUCAAAUUUAAAGACAAAAGAAACAGAUCUUUCUGAUUAUGUGAUGGGUGGGCAUGGCCGUUCUUAGUUCGUGGAGUGAUCUGUCUGCUUAAUUGCGUUUCAAAUAUAUUUUAUUAUAUAACGAGACUACAAAGGAGUGGUUCAUUAACAGACAAUCAUAUCUUUGAGCGUCUGGAAUCUACUCUAUUUGGCUCAAUUGAACGCAACGGACGUGAUCGCGAGUCCUUGUUGAACUUCAGUAUAUAUUGACUUUCCCCGUAGGAAGGGAUUGGCAAUAAUUGAAUGUUCGCUUUCUAUAGGUGUGUAUGAUUAAUCUCAAAAUUACAUGUAUUUGUAGUGGCGAGUAUAAUUUACUAUCCUAUAGGAAAACUCGGGCGACCGCUGUAAUAUUUCUCUUUAAAACAGAGGAAGAUUGCGGC
rnacentral:rRNA from 1 species